rnacentral:rRNA from 1 species
GAUGAACGCUGGCGGCGUGCCUAAUACAUGCAAGUCGAGCGAACAGACGAGGAGCUUGCUCCUCUGACGUUAGCGGCGGACGGGUGAGUAACACGUGGAUAACCUACCUAUAAGACUGGGAUAACUUCGGGAAACCGGAGCUAAUACCGGAUAAUAUAUUGAACCGCAUGGUUCAAUAGUGAAAGACGGUUUUGCUGUCACUUAUAGAUGGAUCCGCGCCGCAUUAGCUAGUUGGUAAGGUAACGGCUUACCAAGGCAACGAUGCGUAGCCGACCUGAGAGGGUGAUCGGCCACACUGGAACUGAGACACGGUCCAGACUCCUACGGGAGGCGGCAGUAGGGAAUCUUCCGCAAUGGGCGAAAGCUUGACGGAGCAACGCCGCGUGAGUGAUGAAGGCCUUCGGAUCGUAAAACUCUGUUAUUAGGGAAGAACAAAUGUGUAAGUAACUAUGCACGUCUUGACGGUACCUAAUCAGAAAGCCACGGCUAACUACGUG